CGUCAUCCCAAAUUUUCAUUUCCUCCCUUAGCUCAUAUGAUUUGUUCUAUACACUGCACACUCUUGUUGGCCCUUCUCCUUCUCACCAGAUCCCUAAUUUUCAUAUCGUCUCUGAUCAAAUAGAAAUGGAACUCUACUUUUCUUCACUCCAGAUCUGCUCGGCAAAUCUCUCUCUCUCCCCCUCUCCCCCUCUCUCUCUGCCCCCCCUCCCUCUUCCUUUCUUUUCUCUCAGUUUUCGCAAAUGUCAAGACCAGACUCCCCAAACUCCAAUUGUACGCACUGGUACAUAUGAGAAGUAUGGCAUUUAUGAGUUUCUGUUGGGUACAAAUGCAAUCGUGACAGUUUUGGCUUAUUCAGGAUAUGAUAUGGAGGAUGCCAUGGUUUUGAAUAUUUAGAAUUUCUUCACACAUUAGCCACAAAUCUAGAUUUCUAUUUUUUUCCUUGCUCUUUACCAUUUCUAUUUGAUUUAUACUUUGUAGCCGCUACCUAGCCAAAUUCAGGUAAAUGUGUUGUUCCUAUGCAAAAUGGAGAACUUGAUGCCAGAGGACUUCUUGCAGCAUUGAUUCAGUCUGCUGGAACACUAGAAUCAUUUGAGGUCUGAUUUUAGUUUAUACAAAAAAGGUGCAUGACUUUGCAUUGCCAAUAGGCGAUAGCUCUCAGUCAGUUGGGUAGUUAUCUCUCUUGCAGUAGAUCUUAAUGGGAUGUGUCUUUUUUCUAUUUUAUCAUAAAGGGUAUCAUCUACCUUGGUCAUUUUUAAGACAUAUCAUUAGAGAUCGGAUUCUCAUUUCUAUAUUAGAUAUGAAAAUUUGCUUUGAUAAAAUGCUGGGACUAUAGAUCAGAUGGUCAAUUCCUGGAAACUACUAAACAAUUGUUUUAAUAACACAUAGGUUGUUGUGAUCAAAUGAUGGCAAAAGAAUUAGAUAGAAUAGUGGGAAUCAAAGGAAUUCCUCGGGGAAUAAGUAGAAAUUAUUUGAUUUUAUACAAGGGUAUGCUACUUUUACUUCUAAUAUUGUCUGCUUGUAGAAUUAUUACAUGCCCGUACAAUAAAAUAAUUAACUAGACAGCAAGCAGUAAAACAAUCUGCCCCAUUCUUAUUCUAAAUAUUCAAAGCAGCUAUGAGUGAGAACAAUCUGCCCCAUUUGCUUUGGUGGAUAUUAUUAAAGAAGUGACCAUGUUUGUCUUUAAGAUCAGGAUGCCCUCAGGUGUUAGAGUUGGUCUCAUCAACGGCCUGGCUGACUUUGAAUGCAGGUUGAGUUUUGGAUGCAAUGAUAAAUUGCAACUUGGCUCUUAAUUUGAUUGCCACUUUCACACGCGCUAGAGCUGCACUGGUUGCCUAUGCAAAGUAGUUCCUCUCUUUCCCAGUUGAGCUUUUGUUAGUAUAUAGAAACUGGUGCUUGCAAGCAAAUUGGGUGGCAAUGUGGCAUACCUUCUGCACUUUAAGGUCCAACCCGAUGGUGUUUUAGAUUCUAGUAUAUGUUCUAUCCGUAUGUAGUAUGCAAGUUUUCCCCGUCAUUUAACUUAUGUCCAUUUUGGUGAUGACCUUUGGUUUUAGAUAUUGUAUCUUUAGA